GAUGAACGCUGGCGGCGUGCCUAAUACAUGCAAGUCGAGCGAACGGACGAGAAGCUUGCUUUUCUGAUGUUAGCGGCGGACGGGUGAGUAACACGUGGAUAACCUACCUAUAAGACUGGGAUAACUCCGGGAAACCGGAGCUAAUACCGGAUAAUAUUUUGAACCGCAUGGUUCAAAAGUGAAAGACGGUCUUGCUGUCACUUAUAGAUGGAUCCGCGCUGCAUUAGCUAGUUGGUAAGGUAACGGCUUACCAAGGCAACGAUGCAUAGCCGACCUGAGAGGGUGAUCGGCCACACUGGAACUGAGACACGGUCCAGACUCCUACGGGAGGCAGCAGUAGGGAAUCUUCCGCAAUGGGCGAAAGCCUGACGGAGCAACGCCGCGUGAGUGAUGAAGGUCUUCGGAUCGUAAAACUCUGUUAUUAGGGAAGAACAUAUGUGUAAGUAACUGUGCACAUCUUGACGGUACCUAAUCAGAAAGCCACGGCUAACUACGUG
rnacentral:rRNA from 1 species